UACAGAGGGUGCAAGCGUUAACCGGAAUUACUGGGCGUAAAGCGUGCGUAGGCGGUUAUCUAAGUCGGAUGUGAAAUCCCCGGGCUCAACCUGGGAAUUGCAUUCGAUACUGGAUAGCUAGAGUUCGGCAGAGGGAAGUGGAAUUUCGGGUGUAGCGGUGAAAUGCGUAGAUAUCCGAAGGAACAUCAGUGGCGAAAGCGACUUCCUGGACCAGAACUGACGAUCAGGCACGAAAGCGUGGGGAGCAAACAGG
rnacentral:rRNA from 1 species